UACGUAGGGUGCGAGCGUUGUCCGGAAUUACUGGGCGUAAAGAGCUCGUAGGUGGUUUGUCGCGUUGUUCGUGAAAACUCACAACUCAAUUGUGGGCGUGCGGGCGACACGGGCAGACUGGAGUACUGCAGGGGAGACUGGAAUUCCUGGUGUAGCGGUGGAAUGCGCAGAUAUCAGGAGGAACACCGGUGGCGAAGGCGGGUCUCUGGGCCGAUACUGACGCUGAGGAGCGAAAGCGUGGGGAGCAAACAGG
rnacentral:rRNA from 1 species